UACGGAGGGUGCAAGCGUUGUCCGGAUUUAUUGGGUUUAAAGGGUGCGUAGGCGGCUUUUUUUAAGUCAGUGGUGAAAUCCUCCAGCUUAACUGGAGUCGUGCCAUUGAUACUGGAAAGCUUGAGUACAGGCGAGGUUGGCGGAAUUGAAGGUGUAGCGGUGAAAUGCAUAGAUAUCUUCAAGAACACCGAUUGCGAAGGCAGCUAACUAGACUGUAACUGACGCUGAGGCACGAAAGUGUGGGGAUCGAACAGG
rnacentral:rRNA from 1 species